rnacentral:rRNA from 1 species
AUGGGAUGGGGCGACGACGACGGCGGCAGCGGCCUUCUCUCGGUGCUUGCUGAUGUGGUGGCCAUCGACACCGGCAACGAGUUGCAGCACAUAGACAUCAAAGGCUGCGGGUGUGACGGAGGAGCACCAUGGCGGGCGUGCAGGCCAUGGCUCUCUAUGUUAAGGGAGCAUUCCUCAAUUUUUUUGGGGUUCAACGGAACAGCAGGAGUGUGGAGAAUUAAGGCACUCGAGGACUCUGGAAUAUGGAUGGAGAGAACAACAGUUGAAGACAUGGAUAUUGCUGUCCGAGCACAUAUAAAGGGAUGGAAAUUUCUGUUAUGGUUGAUGACUUUUCUGUAUGGCAUUCAUACCUUUACUGAUCAUUCAAACUGUGCUACACGAAUUUCCAUUCAGUGUUAG